CACUUCCAAUGAAGAUAUUGGUAAUACUUCAAGCACUGGCGUUGUUUCGAUGUGCCGCGAUGACAGAUGAAUUCUAUGACGAGGAACCCGAAUUCGAAUCCAAACGUCAGUGGUCACUAAGCUCAGACUGUUCCAUGUGUAUCACCUACAAUGACCCUGAAUACUGUACAAGGUGUCUGAAUAGCAAGUCAUCGAUUCCUUUUCACAUGGCUAAACGAGCCUUUAUAAUGUCAAGGUCAACGAGGAAUUCUGGGUGCGGUUGCUGUUUGAUGAGCAGAUUCACCAAUAACUAUUGCUGCCAAAUCUGCAAGGCGGCCAAACGUGGCGUUUAUUGAAACAUGAUUCCGAGUUAUACCAAAUUAUACUUUUACUUAGCUGUAUGCUUUAUAAAUCUAUACAUAUAAAUAGUCAAUGUUCUAUAAAUAGUUAUGCAAAUAUUUUUUUUCCCGACUGUCUGUGUUUUGUCUGCUUGGAUUUGCUGUAAAUGAUGUAAAUGGUGUUGACUUCAUUAAAUGGUGAAGAAAAA
rnacentral:sRNA from 1 species